rnacentral:miRNA from 1 species
UGCUCAGAGUUGCGUCGGUUAC